rnacentral:rRNA from 1 species
GAUGAACGCUGGCGGCGUGCCUAAUACAUGCAAGUCGAGCGAACAGACGAGGAGCUUGCUCCUCUUACGUUAGCGGCGGACGGGUGAGUAACACGUGGAUAACCUACCUAUAAGACUGGGAUAACUUCGGGAAACCUGAUCUAAUACCGGAUAAUAUAUUGAACCGCAUGGUUCAAUAGUGAAAGACGGUUUUGCUGUCACUUAGAGAUGGAUCCGCGCCGCAUUAGCUAGUUGGUAAGGUAACGGCUUACCAAGGCAACGAUGCGUAGCCGACCUGAGAGGGUGAUCGGCCACACUGGAACUGAGACACGGUCCAGACUCCUACGGGAGGCAGCAGUAGGGAAUCUUCGGCAAAGGGCGAAAGCCUGACGGAGCAACGCCGCGUGAGUGAUGAAGGUCUUCGGAUCGUAAAACUCUGUUAUUAGGGAAGAACAAAUGUGUAAGUAACUAUGCACGUCUUGACGGUACCUAAUCAGAAAGCCACGGCUAACUACGUG